CGAACGGGACUCUUCGGAGUUUAGUGGCGGACGGGUGAGUAACGCGUGAGAAUCUGCCCUUAGGUUGGGGACAACAGUUGGAAACGACUGCUAAUACCCAAUGUGCCGAGAGGUGAAAGGUUAACUGCCUGGGGAUGAGCUCGCGUCUGAUUAGCUAGUUGGAGUGGUAACGGCACACCAAGGCGACGAUCAGUAGCUGGUCUGAGAGGAUGAUCAGCCACACUGGGACUGAGACACGGCCCAGACUCCUACGGGAGGCAGCAGUGGGGAAUUUUCCGCAAUGGGCGAAAGCCUGACGGAGCAAGACCGCGUGAGGGAGGAAGGCCUAUUGGUUGUAAACCUCUUUUGAUAGGGAAGAACACAAUGACGGUACCUAUCGAAUCAGCAUCGGCUAACUCCGUGCCAGCAGCCGCGGUAAUACGGAGGAUGCAAGCGUUAUCCGGAUUUAUUGGGCGUAAAGCGUCCGUAGGUGGCAAACCAAGUCAGUUGUUAAAGCGUAGAGCUUAACUCUAUAAGGGCAAUUGAAACUGGUUAGCUAGAGUGCGAUAGGGGCAAGGGGAAUUCCCAGUGUAGCGGUGAAAUGCGUAGAUAUUGGGAAGAACAUCGGUGGCGAAGGCGCCUUGCUGGGUCUGCACUGACACUGAGGGACGAAAGCUAGGGGAGCGAAAGGGAUUAGAUACCCCUGUAGUCCUAGCCGUAAACGAUGGAUACUAGGCGUUGUCCGUAUCGACCCGAGCUGUGCCGAAGC
rnacentral:rRNA from 1 species